UGUUAAACUGUUGUUUACAUAAGUGAUGCUCUUAUUGUUUGUUAAAUUUGUCGAAGCCGCUAAUGAUUCGCCUAAAAGGAGUUUCUUGAAAGAGCAAAUAUAUUUGACGAAUCGCUACAUAAAAAGAGAUAUGGGCGCCUAUUUAAGAAAAAACCUAUUACUAGCCUUUAAAGGUAUUCCUCGGCUAAUUUCAGGGAGGAAGUAAUCGACAAGUCCAAAAAUUAAGGCUUGAAACAUUAAGACA